GACAGAGGUGCCAAGCGUUAGGCGGAAUCACUGGGCUUAAAGCGUGUGUAGGCGGAUCGUUAAGUACCUUGUGAAAUCCCACCGGCUCAACCGUGGAACUGCUCGGUAUACUGGCGGUCUUGAGCCACCUAGGGCAACUGGAACGAAGCGGUGGAGCGGUGAAUGCGUAGAUAUCGAGAGGAACACCUGCGGCGAAGGCGGUGCUGGCUGACACUGACGCUGAAGCGACGAAAGCUAGGGGAGCGAACGGG
rnacentral:rRNA from 1 species